CUACGGGACGCUGCAGUGAGGAAUAUUGCGCAAUGGGGGAAACCCUGACGCAGCGACGCCGCGUGGAUGAUGAAGGCCUUCGGGUCGUAAAAUCCUGUCAGAAGGAAAGAAGUGUAUGGUAGCUAAUAUCUGCCAUACUUGACGGUACCUUCAAAGGAAGCACCGGCUAACUCCGUGCCAGCAGCCGCGGUAAUACGGAGGGUGCAAGCGUUGUUCGGAAUUACUGGGCGUAAAGCGCGCGUAGGCGGUUUUAUAAGUCAGAUGUGAAAGUCCACGGCUCAACCAUGGAAGUGCAUUUGAAACUGUAAGAGUUGAGUAUUGGAGGGGGUAGUGGAAUUCCCGGUGUAGAGGUGAAAUUCGUAGAUAUCGGGAGGAAUACCGGUGGCGAAGGCGACUAUCUGGCCAAAUACUGACGCUGAGGUGCGAAAGCGUGGGGAGCAAACAGGAUUAGAUACCCUAGUAGUC
rnacentral:rRNA from 1 species